rnacentral:tRNA from 1 species
GCCCGCGUAGCUCAGUUGGAAGAGCGCAUCCUUGGUAAGGAUGAGGUCACCAGUUCAAUUCUGGUCGUGGGCUCCA